UUUCACUACGGGUUAAAGGGACUCGCCAGUGCCGGAAAAACAUAUCAGUUUUCCCGCCCCUCUCCCUCCCACCCCCAUCCCAUGUUGCUGAAGGGGUUAAAACCCCUUCAGUGACUUACCUGAAUCCAGCGCCGAUGUCCCUCGGCACUGGGUCAGGCUUCGCCUACGCUCGUCCCCCGACGUCAGCCGGGGGGAGGGGGGCCCUAAUGCGCAUGCGCAGCAAUGAAUGCACGUAUUAGACCUCCACAUAGGAAAGCAUUAUUCAAUACUUUCCUAUGGGGAUUCCA